rnacentral:misc_RNA from 1 species
UCCGGUUUGGCACCGGCAGUCUUCCUAGAGUCCCCGCCAUUACGCGCUGGCAACUAAGGACAAGGGUUUCGCUCGUUAAGCGACUUAACGCGACAUCUCACGGCACGAGCUGACGACAGCCACGCACCACCUGUGCAGGCUCCGAAGAGCACCCGCUUUCACGGGUUUCACCCUGCAUGUCAAGCCCAGGUAAGGUUCUUCGCGUUGCAUCGAAUUAAGCCGCAUGCUCCGCCGCUUGUGCGGGUCCCCGUCAAUUCCUUUGAGUUUUAGCCUUGCGGCCGUACUCCCCAGGCGGGGCACUUAAUGCGUUAGCGGCGGCACGGGAGGAGUCGACACCUCCCACACCUAGUGCCCAUCGUUUACGGCGUGGACUAC